rnacentral:rRNA from 1 species
GACGAACGCUGGCGGCGUGCUUAACACAUGCAAGUCGAACGGAAAGGCCCUGCUUUUGUGGGGUGCUCGAGUGGCGAACGGGUGAGUAACACGUGAGUAACCUGCCCUUGACUUUGGGAUAACUUCAGGAAACUGGGGCUAAUACCGGAUAGGAGCUCCUGCUGCAUGGUGGGGGUUGGAAAGUUUCGGCGGUUGGGGAUGGACUCGCGGCUUAUCAGCUUGUUGGUGGGGUAGUGGCUUACCAAGGCUUUGACGGGUAGCCGGCCUGAGAGGGUGACCGGCGACAUUGGGACUGAGAUACGGCCCAGACUCCUACAGGAGGCAGCAGUGGGGAAUAUUGCACAAUGGGCGGAAGCCUGAGGCAGCAACGCCGCGUGCGGGAUGACGGCCUUCGGGUUGUAAACCGCUUUCGCCUGUGACGAAGCGUGAGUGACGGUAAUGGGUAAAGAAGCACCGGCUAACUACGUG